rnacentral:lncRNA from 1 species
GAUCAACCUUUUAAUCCCACAUCGCCCUCAAAAUAUAUUACCAAAUAUACCCUUCCAUGAGCUAUGCUCUAAGUUAUGAGGUGGUCACAUGACAAAAAAUUCUCCCCACAAAAGAGAAAAAAAAAAAAUUAAAAAAAAAAAAUCGACUUUGUUUUGGAACUUUUUUUGAUUUCACUGAUUUUUUUUCUUCCCAAAAUAUUAGGAUUCUGCAAAAUUUUAAUCUGACACAAAAAUCAGAAUGCAGAAAACAGCAGAUUCUUUGUGAAAUCACAUGUCAAUUAAAUGACCAUAAAGCAAUGGUCAUACCAAUACUUUAACAAGAGAAUUGCUUCUACAAAAUCCUAAUAAAAACAUUCCUGGAAAACAGUAAUUUUAAAACAUGUUUUAGUUGGUUUUGAUGUAUCAUAACGGUUUGUUUUAUUGGGGUAAGUGGAUUUUUAAAAAAUUAAAUAAAAACCCCUGACACAGCAUUUUGCAGCAGUUUAUCUCAAUGCACAACAAGCUCUUAGAAACUAAAGCCUUAAAACAUCUCUGUCAGCCAAGGACUUUACAAGCAAGAAAACCUGCAUGAACAGGCCAAGGCACGUGUUAAGAUCAUAUAGGGACUUGGUCUUGGCUUUUGUGAUGAUCAUAUCAUAUCACAUAUUUUGUAGACAAUGAUUUAUUAUGACUAUGAUAAUUUACUGUUCAGGUUUCAAAUUAGUGUUAUCCUGCUGGAAAGUAACCACUCCAUAAGAUGGGAUGUUUCUGAGUAGAACAGUCUGGUCCAUUACAAACCUUCUCCAGAUUUAACCCAUAAUUUUGAGUUUUAAAACACUAAACCUGCAUAGCUCCUCAGUUAUUUUGAUACCAAAAUGGAAGUGCUGCAUCAUGCUGAAACUGCAAAGUAAGGCUGGUGUAGCAAUGAGCAUCAGCUGCAUCGUUAGAGAAGCAUAACUCUGCAGAUCACAGGGCAUAUGACCCUUCUUUCACUCUAGGUUGGGUUCCCCUCUGCCUUUUGUUUUGUUUUUAUUUGGUUUUAGAUUUUGGCUUAGCCAGUUGCCAGUGUUCCCCAACACCUAUUCCCAAGGGACUUGUCUUGCCUUCAUUGCCAGCAGGCAUCACAUUGAAGGAUGUGAAAUACCCUUGCUACCAAGCUCAGGCUGCAGUCCCUGCUCUGAAGACUGCCUAGGAAAGCCCUGCUCCUCCUUCUCCCUGCCAGGGCAGAAGUCACUGCCAGCAUCUAGAACAACCCCAUGUCUGUAGUUUUCUACUUGCAUCUUCUCUUUCCAUAGCCAAGAGAUGAAAAGCUUCCCCUCCCAGCUGCC